CCCAAGUUCAGCUGCCUCGGGGGAGGAGAUAUGCUGAAGAUAUCAACAGUCUGGUUCUAUUCAUAGUACCUAUUGUUCCUCUCCCAUGGAAUAUCAGACCACGGGUCAUGCCCUGUUGGACACUCUAUGUCAGUUAUUAAAUCCUCACCAAAUUCUGAAACUUAGAGAACAGCUCCAGCAAUCUGAAGAGGUGUCCGAAAUUGGUCACAGGGACUGCGUGUCCAAAGUCAACUGAAUUAGAACCUGGGAGAGGAGCACACAGAAACUGUCUUAGCACCCUCCCCCACCACGCCGGCCCCGGAGAGGGGAACUGGGCGGAGGACUGACAGAACCCACCUCGGGGAGGAAACUAUACAGAGAGAACACAAGCAGCAAAACCAGCAGAUCAUCAUCUCCUAGAAGUGCUGGAGGGUUGGUUUACAAAUCUCCGUGGAGAGCAGAGCAGGUGAGUGAUUCCUGAAGAGUAUGGCGGGCUUGUGGCCGCCCUUCUGAAACGCAUGGCAGAUCCUCAAGCAAUCCUUCUGGGACUCAAAGCAGGUAAACACAGACAAGAGAAGACAGAGUGGCCCUGUGGCUGUGAAGAUGGGAAACUGGAAAUAAAUCCAGGUGUGAGAGGUUGCUGAUGGGGAUCUUUCCUUUGUCCCUGAAUGUUGCCUGUGGACCACAUCUGAAAACAAUAGUACCCCACCUUCUGGAGAGCUGCGAGAGAGUAACAUAAGGGACCCACCUGGGUUUGCCAAGAACCUGCAAAUAAAAAUACAGGAUAGCCACUUAAGUUUAA